rnacentral:rRNA from 1 species
UGGCCACGCAAGUCUAUCGGGAAAUCCGCGCGCUCAACGCGCGGGCGUCCGGUGGAAACUGCGUAGCUUGGGACCGGAAGGCUCGAGGGGUACGUCCGGGGUAGGAGUGAAAUCCCGUAAUCCUGGACGGACCGCCGAUGGCGAAAGCACCUCGAGAAGACGGAUCCGACAGUGAGGGACGAAAGCUAGGGUCUCGAACCGGAUUAGAUACCCGGGUAGUCCUAGCCGUAAACGAUGUUCACUAGGUGUGGCACAGGCUACGAGCCUGUGCUGUGCCGUAGGGAAGCCGAGAAGUGAACCGCCUGGGAA